rnacentral:rRNA from 1 species
CCACAAUGGGCGCAAGCCUGAUGGAGCACGCCGCGUGGGGGAUGACGCUUUCGGAGUGUAAACCCCUUUCGAGAGGACGAAGCCAAUGACGGUACUCUCGGAAUAAGGACCGGCUAACUACGUGCCAGCAGCCGCGGUAAGACGUAGGGUCCGAGCGUUGUCCGGAGUUACUGGGCGUAAAGCGCGCGCAGGCGGUUUCGUACGUCGGGUGUGAAAGCCCCCCGCUCAACGGGGGAGGGUCAUUCGAAACGGCGGAACUGGAGGCAGGGAGAGGUCGGUGGAAUUCCCGGUGUAGUGGUGAAAUGCGUAGAUAUCGGGAGGAACACCAGUGGCGAAGGCGGCCGACUGGACCUGUACUGACGCUGAGGCGCGAAGGCGUGGGGAGCGAACGGGAUUAGAUACCCCGGUAGUCCACGCAGUAAACGAUGUGCACUAGGUGUGGGGGGUAUAGACCCCCUCCGUGCCGGCGCUAACGCAGUAAGUGCACCGCCUGGGGAGUACGGCCGCAAGGCUA